CCCUGCUUACGCACGCGACGGCAGGACGACGCCUGCGCUGGCUCUCACCAGACUCCGACGGGGCUUCCGGAGGGAGCACGGCGGUCGCGAUAUCGCGAGAUUUGCCCCUCCUGGCCGCGCCGCGUCGCUCCAUCUCAGGCAUGACUUAAACGGCGUCGUCGCCGUUUUGCUGCUCGAGAUUCGCCGCCAUGUUUAAUUUGGCUGCAUUUGGCACGUCUGGGGUCGUGGACAGUCCAGCCUCUUUGUAGUCUACUUCAGUGAUGCCUCUAGGGUCAAAGCAUAUUAGGUUUGUGGGUGAAGCUCAGCGGCGCCCAGAGGGAGUGCUCAGAGGGGUGGAGGGUGCGGCCUUGCCUGCAUUAAAGAUGGCCGCCACCUGGGCCUCCCACAGUAAAGAUGGCCGCCGUCGGGCCGCCCGCGCGACAACGUCAGGUUUGGAGCUGGGGACCCGCCCUGCUGGCCACAGCUCUCCCUACGGAAUUGGCGUAAAGCAAAAAGGCGCUGCAGAAGAAUCCUGGCUGGGAAGCUGCUCCAAGAGUAGGGCCACGUACUGCCCUCAAUUCCUAGCGACUGAUUCUGUCAUUGUACUGUCACCUUUCACGGAAGAACCUGUGAACGGUGGUAAGGUCUAUGUGCUGGUUCUCCAUGAAGUCCAACUCAAAACGUGACAGCACAAGUGAGGUGGCACCACUCAUGGCACAGAGUCACCUAUGUCUUUUUGUGAUAAUCUCAAGAGCAAGCAACAAAAGAGGACAGUGUGUGAGGAGCCAGCAUGAUGUAAUGAACCACGAGCACUACUGAUGGGGACUUGGCCUCCCUCUGUACCACUUGAUAUUCAGAGAAAUAAAUAAUGACGAUAAUUGUCAUAUUCCUAACAAAGACAUCUGCUAGACCAGGCAACUCAAGCAAAGCUGUUUGCUACUGACAGCUUGCUUCAAAUGUGAAUGUUGCCAUUAAGAAAAAAGCAGAGUUUCUGUAUUUAUCACAUUGCUUAAUAUGUCCUGUUGGCAAUGUUUCCUCUGGUGACCAAAAGACUGUGCCCAAUAAUUAAAUUCAGUAUUCAGGCUUCUCUUUUAGCUUAAGGUAUCAUUAGAAGGUCUUUAAUUUUGUAUGUGCAUGUUAAUGUAAAUGCAAUAUAUCUACAGUAUAAAAAAAUCCAACCCAAGGUUCAGAGCGAUGUCAGCUGAUGAAUGAAUCUCCUUUUCUGUUCUCCCUAUCUCCAUUUUCCUUUCCUAGAGGUGAUCUUUUGAGUCAUAUACUGUAAAAACUAUACAAAAUAAUAAUAAUAAUCAACCAAUUCCACUUUUCUGCAUUUUUCAUAGGACCCUGAAUUUUGGAAAAUCCCCAU
rnacentral:lncRNA from 1 species